GCGGCGGCUCCGCGCCCCGCGCGCUUCCCUGUCACCGCAGGCCGCGGAGCAGCCUGCAAAGGGAGCGAAGUGAAGGGGUUCGUGGUUUGCUCUCGCUUUGCACCGAGCCCGAGAUGCGGGACGUGGUGCUUCGAUGUGGGGCUCGGGGGGGAAGGUGGAGGGUGGCCAGCGAGCUCCCCUCGGCUGCGCUGUCGUGACAGACAGACAGACAGACAGACAGACAGACACACUUACGUCCUCUGUCGCCACGGGAGCGCGUACUCGAGGUGCCCGGGACAGCCGGGGCCGGCAGCGGGGCUGGGGCAGCGCCCUCCGCCUCCCGAGGAGUGCAGGCCGCACGCCCUGGGGUUGCGUGCCAGUCAGUCCCCGGGCUGAGGAGCCUGCCCGCCUGCCCGCCUGCCCUCCUGCCUGCCUGCCCGCCCGCCUACUUGCUCCCCUCGCACCUCCGCCUCCCCAGCAACCUGCGCAGCAGCGGCUUUGUCUGCCAGCUCGCCUUGCACCGAGCGAAAUUAGGGAGCUGUUAAUGAACUCUCGUUAACACUGUGGUAUUUGACGGCUCAACGUCCCAGAAGAACUCGGACUCUCCCCCAAGAGAUUUUUGCCCAGCACAUACAGAUACUGAGAAUGAGGAGAAGGCAGUUUAUUACCUGCUGAGAUGAAGGGGCUCUGCAAACACAGACUAAUCCAGUGCUAUACAGCUGUAAUGGAAGGAUACCCUGGUCACUCUGUAGCAGCUUUACCUGGAUGUACAUGGACUGAGUGCAAGGUUGAGAUGACACCAAGCUGUGUGGCCUGAUUGUCACACUGGAGAGAAAGGAUGCCAUGCAAAGGGACCUGGACAGCUGUUCAUAUGAACCAAGGCAGGAGUGGUGGCAGAAGGACAUUUAUCUCAAACCAAGUGAGGCAGGAAGUGCAGCAGGAAACAGAAAAUAAAGUGUGGAGAAGAAAAACAUGGAAAGGCUGCCAGGAAGACUUGUGUGCUUAGCAAGCUGUGGAGGCCCAA